rnacentral:rRNA from 1 species
UACGAAGGGAGCUAGCGUUGUUCGGAAUUACUGGGCGUAAAGCGCACGUAGGCGGGUUGUUAAGUCAGGGGUGAAAUCCCGGAGCUCAACUCCGGAACUGCCUUUGAUACUGGCAAUCUAGAGACUGGAAGAGGUUAGUGGAAUUCCCAGUGUAGAGGUGAAAUUCGUAGAUAUUGGGAAGAACACCAGUGGCGAAGGCGGCUAACUGGUCCAGCACUGACGCUGAGGUGCGAAAGCGUGGGGAGCAAACAGG